GGUAGUAGCAAAUAUUUAAGUUCGAUCCUUGAAGACUGAAGUGGAGGAGGGUUCCACGUGAACAGUAGUUGAAUAUGGGUCAGUCGAUCUCAAGAUGCUGGCUUAUGCCUUGUAUCAUCGAGAGGGAAAAGUCUCUUUUCUCUCGGAUAUCAAAAGGGAAUAGAGUUAAUAUUCCCUAACGCAGAAAAAUAAUGUACAGCAGAAUAAUAUGCUCGUGGUCUUAUAAAGUUCUUGGUCUACAGAAUUUAUCCUAAAGAAGCGCUACUGUCAAUUGCGCUGGCC
rnacentral:ncRNA from 1 species